CUUGGACCGCUUGGGAAUUUUCUUCACCGCUCCUCCCCGCCCUAGCCGCCCCCCUCUCGAGCCUGGGGAAAGAGGCGUGAGUUCCUAUUCCAGCUCUGCUGCUAGGUGAAUUUAGCUGAGGCCACUGAGGCCUAGAGGGGUGGAGGGACUUGCUUCAGAUCACACAGCUGGGAGGUGGCAUUGAACCCAGGCACUCUGCCUCCUGAGGCAGGGGCUGCAGAGGCUGUGUGCACGCGCGUCUACACUGCAGAGUGCGUCCUUGUUGACGUGUGUUCAUGUCCGGCUGUGAGCACCAAGAGAGCAGGAGCACGGCUCCUUUGGUCACAGCUGUGUCCCAGAGCUGAGCUAAGGCCUGGCCCAGAAAAGACAGACGCUGAGAGUCCUGCACACAAGACAGCAGAUGUGGGCAAGAACCAGGCAGCUGCGUGUACAAGUGCAACAAAUUGAAAACUGCCUACUCGUCCAAAGACAGAACAGGGAAAUGAAAUGGCAGGGACAGUAUACAGCAUUUAAUAGUUGCAACUUUCCCACCGAAUGCGCUGCGCCUUCCGGCCUGGACAGAAAAGUGGGAGCCUUUCACAGCCUGCGCACAAGUCAGCACCUCCGUGGAGCACUUCCCGGCAGGCCCUUCCCUGAAUGGCUCUUCUAUUCAAGUGUUAAUAAAAUAUGCCCCAAAGAAAAAUAAUAAAAAUAAAAAUAAAUAUGCCCUAGGUAAGUCCAAGGUGAUUACUGAAUAGUUUCAGAGGAAAUUGGAAGAAGCGGGUUUUAGGCUUGAAAAAUAAAGUUGUCAUCAGUUUGGCCAAAGC